ensembl:rRNA 5S_rRNA 5S ribosomal RNA
GUCUAUAGUCACACCACCCUGAAUGCUCCUGUUCUUGUCUGAUCUAGGAAGCUAAGCAGGGUUAGUAUUUGCAAGGGAGAAAUGGGGAAAUUAUUUAAAAUAUUAUUAACU